CUGCCUGGUAGUGGGGGACGAACGUUUCGAAAGGAACGCUAAUACCGCAUACGUCCUACGGGAGAAAGCAGGGACCUUCGGGCCUUGCGCUAUCAGAUGAGCCUAGGUCGGAUUAGCUAGUUGGUGAGGUAAUGGCUCACCAAGGCGACGAUCCGUAACUGGUCUGAGAGGAUGAUCAGUCACACUGGAACUGAGACACGGUCCAGACUCCUACGGGAGGCAGCAGUC
rnacentral:rRNA from 1 species